rnacentral:rRNA from 1 species
AGUGAACGCUGGCGGUAGGCCUAACACAUGCAAGUCGAACGGCAGCACAGUAAGAGCUUGCUCUUACGGGUGGCGAGUGGCGGACGGGUGAGGAAUACAUCGGAAUCUACUUUUUCGUGGGGGAUAACGUAGGUAAACUUACGCUAAUACCGCAUACGCCCUACGGGUGAAAGCAUGGGAUCUUCGGACCUUGCGCGAUUGAAUGAGCCGAUGUCGGAUUAGCUAGUUGGCGGGGUAAAGGCCCACCAAGGCGACGAUCCGUAGCUGGUCGGAGAGGAGGAUCAGCCACACUGGAACUGAGCCACGGUCCUGGCUCCUACGGGAGGCAGCAGUGGGGAAUAUUGGACAAUGGGCGCAAGCCUGAUCCAGCCAUACCGCGUGGGUGAAGAAGGCCUUCGGGUUGUAAAGCCCUUUUGUUGGGAAAGAAAAGCAGCAGGUUAAUACCCCGCUGUUCUGACGGUACCCAAAGAAUAAGCACCGGCUAACUUCGUG